UUGAUUCGUUUUAAAGACAGGUUCUCGCUACGUCACCCAGGCUGGCCUUGAACUCACUACGUACCUGGAUUUCUUGACAGCUAACUAUGAGUACUGAAAACUCCAAGCAGUUUUGUGGCGGUGUGUCCCUCCCCUUAAAGAGUUAAUUAAGCAGCCCCGCGGCCUGCCCGAGAGAAACCCUAAAGAGGCGCCACAUUCUUGCAGGAACUCAGUCUGUCCCAGCUCAAACUGCCCUCCAGAUGAACAAGUGCUCUACGGAAUUUAUUGCACAGACGGGGAUCCUGGAGGCAGAAGGAUGCCACGGUGGUGUUUAUGGGUAAUAUAAAUCCAGGUUACUUCCAAGGCAUUGGAGGGUGAUGGGAGCCAGCCCGCGUGUGAACUCCUUCAGGCCACCAGCCAGCAUCGCAGCCCCUGAACUCCCCCCUCCCCCACAGAAGGUGUCUCAGACUGAGCCAGUCCUGUCUCCCCAUUCGCACACACAGGGGACACCGCCCAGAAUGCCCUCAAUCAGGUUGCCCAAGUAUUACACGUAAAGUUGUGCCACACAUAAUAAGCAAAGGGAAUGUGGCUUGUUUUUAAAACUUUAGAAUAAAGGUGGUACAGUU
rnacentral:lncRNA from 1 species